rnacentral:rRNA from 1 species
CCUACGGGAGGCAGCAGUGGGGAAUAUUGGGCAAUGGAGGAAACUCUGACCCAGCGACGCCGCGUGCGGGAUGAAGGCCUUCGGGUUGUAAACCGCUUUCAGCAGGGAAGAAGCGAAAGUGACGGUACCUGCAGAAGAAGCACCGGCUAACUAUGUGCCAGCAGCCGCGGUAAUACAUAGGGUGCAAGCGUUGUCCGGAAUUAUUGGGCGUAAAGAGCUCGUAGGUGGUUCGUCACGUCGGAUGUGAAAAUCUGGGGCUUAACCCCAGACCUGCAUUCGAUACGGGCGAGCUUGAGUAUGGUAGGGGAGUCUGGAAUUCCUGGUGUAGCGGUGGAAUGCGCAGAUAUCAGGAGGAACACCAAUGGCGAAGGCAGGACUCUGGGCCAUUACUGACACUGAGGAGCGAAAGCGUGGGGAGCGAACAGGAUUAGAUACCCUGGUAGUCCACGCCGUAAACGGUGGGCACUAGUUGUGGGGACCUUCCACGGUCUCUGCGACGCAGCUAACGCAUUAAGUGCCCCGCCGUGGGGAGUACGANCGCAAGAAUUAAACUCAAAGGAAUUGACGG